CCUACGUGUGGCAGCAGUGGGGAAUAUUGGGCAAUGGACGCAAGUCUGACCCAGCAACGCCGCGUGAAGGAAGAAGGCUUUCGGGUUGUAAACUUCUUUUAAGGGGGAAGAGCAGAAGACGGUACCCCUUGAAUAAGCCACGGCUAACUACGUGCCAGCAGCCGCGGUAAUACGUAGGAUGCGAGCGUUAUCCGGAUUUAUUGGGUUUAAAGGGUGCGUAGGCGGUCUGUUAAGUCAGCGGUAAAAUUGCGGGGCUCAACCCCGUCGAGCCGUUGAAACUGGCAGACUUGAGUUGGCGAGAAGUACGCGGAAUGCGCGGUGUAGCGGUGAAAUGCAUAGAUAUCGCGCAGAACUCCGAUUGCGAAGGCAGUGUACCGGCGCCAGACUGACGCUGAGGCACGAAAGCGUGGGGAUCGAACAGGAUUAGAUACCCUUGUAGUC
rnacentral:rRNA from 1 species